UGUCUUGUGGCUUAGUAGAUUAAAGCACCUGUCUAGCAAAUACGGAGUCGUAGGUUCGAAUCCCAUCAGAACAC
rnacentral:tRNA from 1 species